UCAGGAUGAACGCUAUCUACAGGCUUAACACAUGCAAGUCGAGGGGCAGCAUCAUCAAAGCUUGCUUUGAUGGAUGGCGACCGGCGCACGGGUGAGUAACACGUAUCCAACCUGCCGACAACACUGGGAUAGCCUUUCGAAAGAAAGAUUAAUACCGGAUGGCAUAGUUUUCCCGCAUGGGAUAAUUAUUAAAGAAUUUCGGUUGUCGAUGGGGAUGCGUUCCAUUAGGCAGUUGGCGGGGUAACGGCCCACCAAACCGACGAUGGAUAGGGGUUCUGAGAGGAAGGUCCCCCACAUUGGAACUGAGACACGGUCCAAACUCCUACGGGAGGCAGCAGUGAGGAAUAUUGGUCAAUGGACGAGAGUCUGAACCAGCCAAGUAGCGUGAAGGAUGACUGCCCUAUGGGUUGUAAACUUCUUUUAUACGGGAAUAAAGUUAGCCACGUGUGGCUUUUUGUAUGUACCGUAUGAAUAAGGAUCGGCUAACUCCGUGCCAGCAGCCGCGGUAAUACGGAGGAUCCGAGCGUUAUCCGGAUUUAUUGGGUUUAAAGGGAGCGUAGGCGGGUUGUUAAGUCAGUUGUGAAAGUUUGCGGCUCAACCGUAAAAUUGCAGUUGAUACUGGCGACCUUGAGUGCAACAGAGGUAGGCGGAAUUCGUGGUGUAGCGGUGAAAUGCUUAGAUAUCACGAAGAACUCCGAUUGCGAAGGCAGCUUACUGGAUUGUAACUGACGCUGAUGCUCGAAAGUGUGGGUAUCAAACAGGAUUAGAUACCCUGGUAGUCCACACAGUAAACGAUGAAUACUCGCUGUUGGCGAUAUACAGUCAGCGGCCAAGCGAAAGCAUUAAGUAUUCCACCUGGGGAGUACGCCGGCAACGGUGAAACUCAAAGGAAUUGACGGGGGCCCGCACAAGCGGAGGAACAUGUGGUUUAAUUCGAUGAUACGCGAGGAACCUUACCCGGGCUUAAAUUGCAACUGACUGAACCGGAAACGGUUCUUUCUUCGGACAGUUGCGAAGGUGCUGCAUGGUUGUCGUCAGCUCGUGCCGUGAGGUGUCGGCUUAAGUGCCAUAACGAGCGCAACCCUUAUCGAUAGUUACUAGCAGGUCAUGCUGAGGACUCUAUUGAGACUGCCGUCGUAAGAUGUGAGGAAGGUGGGGAUGACGUCAAAUCAGCACGGCCCUUACGUCCGGGGCUACACACGUGUUACAAUGGGGGGUACAGAAGGCAGCUACACGGCGACGUGGUGCUAAUCCCGAAAGCCUCUCUCAGUUCGGAUUGGAGUCUGCAACCCGACUCCAUGAAGCUGGAUUCGCUAGUAAUCGCGCAUCAGCCACGGCGCGGUGAAUACGUUCCCGGGCCUUGUACACACCGCCCGUCAAGCCAUGAAAGCCGGGGGUACCUGAAGUACGUAACCGCAAGGAGCGUCCUAGGGUAAAACUGGUGAUUGGGGCUAAAUG
rnacentral:rRNA from 1 species